UGGUGAGGUAGAGGCGCGGUAUUUAACAGUCUUUAGUGGAACUCGAGAUAGUGAUGAAACUAAAGAGAAGGAAAUAUCGCCGAAGCUUGCAAUAUGAUCUCGCUAUUGCUUGCUGGGCUUACAGUGAAUAACUGUAAGACUGUCUCAGGUAGAAUGGUCCCGGUUUGCCUGAGUUGUGCUAUCUCCAAA
rnacentral:ncRNA from 2 species